rnacentral:rRNA from 1 species
AGCACUUUCAGCGAGGAGGAAAGGGUGUAGAUUAAUACUCUGCAUCUGUGACGUUACUCGCAGAAGAAGCACCGGCUAACUUCGUGCCAGCAGCCGCGGUAAUACGAGGGGUGCAAGCGUUAAUCGGAAUUCACUGGGCGUAAAGCGUGCGUAGGUGGUUUGUUAAGCAAGAUGUGAAAGCCCCGGGCUCAACCUGGGAACUGCAUUUUGAACUGGCAAACUAGAGUUUUGUAGAGGGUAGUGGAAUUUCCAGUGUAGCGGUGAAAUGCGUAGAGAUUGGAAGGAACAUCAGUGGCGAAGGCGGCUACCUGGACAGAGACUGACACUGAGGCACGAAAGCGUGGGGAGCAAACAGGAUUAGAUACCCUGGUAGUCCACAGCCGUAAACGAUGUCAACUAGCCGUCUGUAGACUUGAUCUGUGG